rnacentral:rRNA from 1 species
UGGCAGCGUGCAUAACACAUGCAAGUCGAACGAUGAAGCAUUCUUCGGAAUGUGGAAGAGUGGCGAACGGGUGAGGAACACGUAAGAAUCUGCCCCUCAGUCGGGGACAACCCUUGGAAACGAGGGCUAAUACCCGAUACGCUGUGGAGUGAAAGAAUUUCGCUGAGGGAUGAUCUUGCGUCUGAUUAGCUAGUUGGUGUGGUAAUGGCACACCAAGGCGACGAUCAGUAGCUGGUCUGAGAGGAUGAACAGCCACAUUGGAACUGAGACACGGUCCAAACUCCUACGGGAGGCAGCAGUGGGGAAUUUUCCGCAAUGGACGAAAGUCUGACGGAGCGACGCUGCGUGAAGGAUGACGGCCUGCGGGUUGUAAACUUCUUUUCUCGAAGAAGAAGCUCUGACGGUAUUCGAGGAAUAAGCAUCGGCUAACUCCGUGCCAGCAGCCGCGGUAAGACGGAGGAUGCAAGUGUUAUUCGGAAUGAUUGGGCGUAAAGAGUCUGUAGGCUGUACGGAAAGUCUUUUGU